ACACACACAGUGUCAGCAUGCAGCAACAGGUACACUCAUGGUGAGACACUCUGACCCAAUCACAGCAGUGUGUUGUGUCACACAGAUGUUGGGGGAGGUUUUCCUGGCAGAUGCUGAUUGGCUGACAGCCUGAGUGACAGUGCAAACAAAGACAAACUCUGCAGCCAACAGUCAAACACAAGCUGCAGACAAAUGGCGACACUUGCUGUAGUGUAACAGAGACAGGAACAGAUACUGCUGCAGCAGACGGAAGUGAACGGACGCAUCCCGGACAGGAUGCGUCUAAAGGUGAGGUUGAUGCGAGGCUGGGAAAUCCUCUUGCGGACAGGCAGGCUGUGGUACCAGAAGGUGUUGGUCGGGGAGUUCAUGAGGAGCAGGCUGCCAUGAGCGAGCUCCAGCUUCACGGGUUCAA